ACUAAGCCAUGCGAGUUUUUGUAGUAAUACAAGGCAUACGGCUCAGUAACACGUAGUCAACCUACCCUAUGGACGAGGAUAAUCUCGGGAAACUGAGCAUAAUACUCGAUAGAUCAUAAUGCCUGGAAUGGUUUAUGGUUGAAAUGAUUCGUUCGCCAUAGGAUGGGACUGCGGCCUAUCAGCUUGUUGGUGAGGUAAUGGCCCACCAAGGCGAUUACAGGUACGGGCUCUGAGAGGAGAAGCCCGGAGAUGGGUACUGAGAUACGGACCCAGGCCCUAUGGGGCGCAGCAGGCGAGAAAACUUUGCAAUGUGCGAAAGCACGACAAGGUUAGUCCGAGUGAUUUCUGCUAAAGAAAUCUUUUGCAAGUUCUAAAACCACUUGUGAAUAAGGGGUGGGCAAGUUCUGGUGUCAGCCGCCGCGGUAAAACCAGCACCUCGAGUGGUCAGGAGGAUUAUUGGGCCUAAAGCAUCCGUAGCCGGCUCUGUAAGUUUUCGGUUAAAUCCAUGCGCUCAACGCAUGGGCUGUCGGAAAUACUGCAGAGCUAGGGAGUGGGAGAGGUAGACGGUACUCAGUAGGAAGGGGUAAAAUCCUUUGAUCUAUUGAUGACCACCUGUGGCGAAGGCGGUCUACCAGAACACGUUCGACGGUGAGGGAUGAAAGCUGGGGGAGCAAACCGGAUUAGAUACCCGGGUAGUCCCAGCUGUAAACGAUGCAGACUCGAUGAUGCAUUGGCAUAUAGCCAGUGCAGUGUCGCAGGGAAGCCGUUAAGUCUGCCGCCUGGGAAGUACGUACGCAAGUAUGAAACUUAAAGGAAUUGGCGGGGGAGCACCAC
rnacentral:rRNA from 1 species